GCUAGGCGUGGUGGUGCACGCCUAUAAUCCUAGCAGCUCAGGAGGCUGAGGCAGGAGGAUCAUGAGUUCAAAGCCAGCCUCAGCAACAGCAAGGGUGCUAAGAACUCAGUGAGACUCUGUCUCUA
rnacentral:sRNA from 1 species